rnacentral:rRNA from 1 species
GCAGCCGCGGUAAUUCCAGCUCCAAUAGCGUAUAUUAAAGUUGUUGCAGUUAAAAAGCUCGUAGUUGAACUUCGGGAUCAAUUGAUUGGUCAUGCCGUUGGUAUGUACUGGUCAUAUUGGUUCUCACCUUCUAAGGAACCAUAAUGUCAUUAAUUUGAUGUUUUGGGGAAUUAGGACUGUUACCUUGAAAAAAUUAGAGUGUUUAAAGCAGGCUAACGCUUGAAUACGUUAGCAUGGAAUAAUGAAAUAGGACAUCGCAUUCUAUUUUGUUGGUUUCUAGGAUCGAUGUAAUGAUUAAUAGGGAUAGUUGGGGGCAUUAGUAUUCAAUUGUCAGAGGUGAAAUUCUUGGAUUUAUUGAAGACUAACUACUGCGAAAGCAUUUGCCAAGGAUGUUUUCAUUAAUCAAGAACGAAAGUUAGGGGAUCGAAGACGAUCAGAUACCGUCGUAGUCUUAACCAUAAACUAUGCCGACUAGGGAUCGGAUGAUGUUAAUUUUUUAAUGACUCA